GUGUUUAUAAAACUGUGUCCAGGAUAGAACAGCUUCAGUAGCGGAAAGUGAAAUGUUCCCACCUCAAAAUACUACGAGCACCCCUUACUGGGACAGCCAUUUUUCGUUCUACACCCCUGCCGGACUAAUGAGUUCAUGUGUUCUAUACUGGCCGGUUCACAAAAAGACAACAGGUGAGAAACACGACUGUGCUUUGCAAGGUGUAUGUGCUGUAGAUAAAGUAAGUCAGCUGGGAAGUGGGCAUGGGCAGAACAGCUUCCUUGGUCCAAAUGGAAGGGGAUUCUGUAUUGUCACUUCACUGCUGAAAAUGAUAACAUGCUUGAUACUGCUCAAGUGA
rnacentral:lncRNA from 1 species